rnacentral:rRNA from 1 species
GGAUGAACGCUGGCGGCGUGCCUAAUACAUGCAAGUCGAGCGAACGGACGAGAAGCUUGCCUCUCUGAUGUUAGCGGCGGACGGGUGAGUAACACGUGGAUAACCUACCUAUAAGACUGGGAUAACUUCGGGAAACCGGAGCUAAUACCGGAUAAUAUUUUGAACCGCAUGGUUCAAAAGUGAAAGACGGUCUUGCUGUCACUUAUAGAUGGAUCCGCGCUGCAUUAGCUAGUUGGUAAGGUAACGGCUUACCAAGGCAACGAUGCAUAGCCGACCUGAGAGGGUGAUCGGCCACACUGGAACUGAGACACGGUCCAGACUCCUACGGGAGGCAGCAGUAGGGAAUCUUCCGCAAUGGGCGAAAGCCUGACGGAGCAACGCCGCGUGAGUGAUGAAGGUCUUCGGAUCGUAAAACUCUGUUAUUAGGGAAGAACAUAUGUGUAAGUAACUGUGCACAUCUUGACGGUACCUAAUCAGAAAGCCACGGCUAACUACGUG